UACGUAGGGUGCGAGCGUUGUCCGGAAUUAUUGGGCGUAAAGAGCUUGUAGGCGGUUUGUCGCGUCUGCUGUGAAAUUCCAGGGCUUAACCCUGGGCUUGCAGUGGGUACGGGCAGACUAGAGUGUGGUAGGGGAGACUGGAAUUCCUGGUGUAGCGGUGAAAUGCGCAGAUAUCAGGAGGAACACCGGUGGCGAAGGCGGGUCUCUGGGCCGAUACUGACGCUGAGGAGCGAAAGCGUGGGGAGCGAACAGG
rnacentral:rRNA from 1 species